rnacentral:rRNA from 1 species
CCUACGGGAGGCAGCAGUGAGGAAUAUUGGUCAAUGGGCGAGAGCCUGAACCAGCCAAGUCGCGUGAGGGAAGACGGUCCUAUGGAUUGUAAACCUCUUUUGCCGGGGAGCAAAAAGCGGUACGUGUACCGCAUCGAGAGUACCCGGAGAAAAAGCAUCGGCUAACUCCGUGCCAGCAGCCGCGGUAAUACGGAGGAUGCGAGCGUUAUCCGGAUUUAUUGGGUUUAAAGGGUGCGCAGGCGGCGAGUUAAGUCAGCGGUAAAAUUUCGGGGCUCAACCCCGACGAGCCGUUGAAACUGGCUUGCUAGAGUGGGCGAGAAGUAGGCGGAAUGCGUGGUGUAGCGGUGAAAUGCAUAGAUAUCACGCAGAACUCCGAUUGCGAAGGCAGCGUACCGGCGCCAGACUGACGCUGAGGCACGAAAGCGUGGGGAUCGAACAGGAUUAGAUACCCGAGUAGUC